GUAGGGUGCAAGCGUUAAUCGGAAUUACUGGGCGUAAAGCGUGCGCAGGCGGUUUGAAAAGUCAGCUGUGAAAGCCCCGGGCUCAACCUGGGAACUGCGGUUGAAACUCUCAAGCUAGAGUGCGUCAGAGGGGGGUGGAAUUCCACGUGUAGCAGUGAAAUGCGUAGAGAUGUGGAGGAACACCAAUGGCGAAGGCAGCCCCCUGGGAUGACACUGACGCUCAUGCACGAAAGCGUGGGGAGCAAAC
rnacentral:rRNA from 1 species